GAUGAACGCUGGCGGCGUGCCUAAUACAUGCAAGUCGAGCGAACAGACGAGGAGCUUGCUCCUCUGACGUUAGCGGCGGACGGGUGAGUAACACGUGGAUAACCUACCUAUAAGACUGGGAUAACUUCGGGAAACCGGAGCUAAUACCGGAUAAUAUAUUGAACCGCAUGGUUCAAUAGUGAAAGACGGUUUUGCUGUCACUUAUAGAUGGAUCCGCGCCGCAUUAGCUAGUUGGUAAGGUAACGGCUUACCAAGGCGACGAUGCGUAGCCGACCUGAGGGUGAUCGGCCACACUGGAACUGAGACACGGUCCAGACUCCUACGGGAGGCAGCAGUAGGGAAUCUUCCGCAAUGGGCGAAAGCCUGACGGAGCAACGCCGCGUGAGUGAUGAAGGUCUUCGGAUCGUAAAACUCUGUUAUUAGGGAAGAACAAAUGUGUAAGUAACUAUGCACGUCUUGACGGUACCUAAUCAGAAAGCCACGGCUAACUACGUG
rnacentral:rRNA from 1 species